rnacentral:rRNA from 1 species
UGAGGAAUAUUGGACAAUGGGCGCAAGCCUGAUCCAGCCAUGCCGCGUGAGUGAUGAAGGCCCUAGGGUUGUAAAGCUCUUUCGCCAGGGACGAUAAUGACGGUACCUGGAUAAGAAGCCCCGGCCAACUUCGUG